UGGGGGAUAUUGCACAAUGGGCGAAAGCCUGAUGCAGCGACGCCGCGUGGGGGAUGAAGGCCUUCGGGUUGUAAACUUCUUUUGCUCUGAACAAGGCGCACCAUGGGGUGUGUUGAGUGUAGGGGUUGAUUAGCGCCGGCUAACUACGUGCCAGCAGCCGCGGUAAUACGUAAGGCGCGAGCGUUGUCCGGAAUUAUUGGGCGUAAAGGGCUUGUAGGUGGCUGGUUGCGUCUGUCGUGAAAGCUCAUGGCUUAACUGUGGGUUUGCGGUGGGUACGGGCUGGCUUGAGUGCAGUAGGGGAGGCUGGAAUUCCUGGUGUAGCGGUGGAAUGCGCAGAUAUCAGGAGGAAUACCGGUGGCGAAGGCGGGUCUCUGGGCUGUUACUGACACUGAGGAGCGAAAGCAUGGGGAGCGAACAGG
rnacentral:rRNA from 1 species